UUCAAAGGAAAUUCCAGCUGC
rnacentral:siRNA from 1 species